UCCGGUUUGUCACCGGCAGUCUGGCGUGAGUCCCCAACCUAAUGCUGGCAACACGCCACGGGGGUUGCGCUCGUUGCGGGACUUAACCCAACAUUUCACGACACGAGCUGACGACAGCCAUGCAGCAUCUGUGGCGCACCCUCGAAGGUCACACGUUUCCGUGCGCUUGCAGCGCCAUGUCAAGCCCAGGUAAGGUUCUUCGCGUUGCAUCGAAUUAAAGAACAUGCUCCGCUGCUUGUGCGGGCCCCCGUCAAUUCCUUUGAGUUUUAGCCUUGCGGCCGUACUCCCCAGGCGGAACACUUAUCGCGUUGGCUGCGGCACAGAGGGAGUCGACACCCCCCACACCUAGUGACCAUCGUUUACGGCGUGGACUAC
rnacentral:misc_RNA from 1 species